UACAGAGGGUGCGAGCGUUGUUCGGAAUUAUUGGGCGUAAAGGGCGCGUAGGCGGUCGGGUAAGUCACCUGUGAAAUCUCCUGGCUCAACUGGGAGUCUGCAGGCGAAACUGCUUGACUGGAGUGUGGGAGAGGUGCGUGGAAUUCCCGGUGUAGCGGUGAAAUGCGUAGAUAUCAGGAGGAACACCGGUGGUGUAGACGGCUCUCUGGACCGUAACUGACGCUGAGACACGAAAGCGUGGGUAGCAAACAGG
rnacentral:rRNA from 1 species